rnacentral:misc_RNA from 1 species
GAUGAAGAACGUAGCGAAAUGCGAUAAGUAAUGUGAAUUGCAGAAUUCAGUGAAUCAUCGAAUCUUUGAACGCACAUUGCGCCCGCCAGUAUUCUGGCGGGCAUGCCUGUUCGAGCGUCAUUUGUACCUUCAAGCUUUGCUUGGUGUUGGGUGUUUGUCUCGCCUCCGCGUGUAGACUCGCCUCAAAACAAUUGGCAGCCGGCGUAUUGAUUUCGGAGCGCAGUACAUCUCGCGCUUUGCACUCACAACGACGACGUCCAAAAGUACAUUUUUACACUCUUGACCUCGGAUCAGGUAGGGAUACCCGCUGAACUUAAGCAUAUCAAUAAGCGGAGGA